rnacentral:rRNA from 1 species
ACUCAAAGGAAUUGACGGGGGCCCGCACAAGCAGCGGAGCGUGUGGUUUAAUUCGAGGCUACACGAAGAACCUUACCUGGGCUUGACAUGCAAUUCGUAAGCUGGGGAAACUCAGCCGGAUUGGGUUGCACUGGUGCUGCAUGGCUGUCGUCAGCUCGUGCCGUGAGGUGUAGGGUUAAGUCCUGAAACGAGCGCAACCCUCGGCGGUAGUUAGAUAGUCUACCGCGACUGCCCGUGACAAGCGGGAGGAAGGUGGGGAUGACGUCAAGUCAGCAUGGCCUGUAUGUCCAGGGCGACACACACGCUACAAUGGUCGGUACAAUCGGAUGCCAAGGCGCAAGCCGGAGCCAAUCCCAAGAAAGCCGGCCUCAGUUCAGAUUGUGGGCUGCAACUCGCCCACAUGAAGUCGGAGUUGCUAGUAACCGCGCGUCAGCAGAGUGCGGUGAAUACGUUCCCGGGCCUUGUACACACCGCCCGU